rnacentral:SRP_RNA from 1 species
GCUGUGAGUGCCAUGGCAUAUACCUAUAGCCCCAGCUACUUGGGAGGCUGAGGCGGGAGGAUCUCUUGGGCCCAGAAGUUCUGGGCUGUAGUGUGCUUUGCCAACUGCGUGUCCACACUAAGUUUGGCAUCAAUAUGGUGACCUCCUGAGAAGGGGGGACUACCAGGUUGCCUAAGGAGGGGUGAACCAAAAUGGAGCAAGUCAAAACUCCUUUGUUGAUUAGUAGCGGGAUCGUGCCUGUGAAUAGUCAGUACACUCCAGCCUGGGCAACAUAGUGAGACCCCAGCUCU